CUCCGACGUCGCCUCCUUCGAUGGUCACUCCGGACGUGGCGCGGCCCCCAUUCGGACUCACCACGUUGCCUAUUUCACCUCUCACACAGCUGUGAGGGCUCUUCACGUCUGCUUCAUGUCUUUUGUGCGUCUGUCCCUCCUGGGACAGAAACUCCGUGAGGGGAGGAAGAAGCCUGUUGGGUUUUGUUCAUUUCUGUACCCCCGCAGCUGGAAUAUGCCCACAAAAUGUUUAUGGAGUGGAGAACUUUGAUCCUCAAAGCCUUAUGAGAUAGAGAUAAUCAUCUUCAUCUAAUAGAUGAGAAAACCGAGUCUCAGAGGCAAGUCCCUUCCUAGAAUCACUCAUCAGAGCACUUGCACCCUGACAGCUCAGCCGAGGGCCUCAUAGCUCCAUCCUGGGAGGCCGGGAGUUGCCUCACCUGCAGUGAAUGGAGGGUGUUUACAGAGGCCUGCUGACCCCGCCCUCCCACUUCAAGUGUGCUCAUCUCUGAAGGGCCAUUCCAGCCCCAGGGCUCCCUCCACCACCUGCUGCCCAGCCUGGUACCCCUGGAGGCCUUCUUGCAACCGUGCCUGCGGCAGUUCACUUUCUCCCGAGGCCCACUGCUGCUUCCCCCAGUCCUGGAGGCCCUCCCGGGGGGUUGCUCCCCUGGGGCACUCUCGCAUCAACCUCCCGCACACAGAUCUCUCUCUCAGAGACUGUCACCCUGGGAGCCCAACCUGCCACAGAGAACAUGCCCUUUUCUUCAGUGGCAGCUCCACAUGCUCCCACUCAAGUCCACUCUGUAGGGGUGGCGGGACGACUCUUCCCCACAGGGCGCUCCUGCUCUUGCUGCCCCCCUAACCGAACCCGCCGUCUUAGCGGAGCCCAUGACCGGCAGCUCAGCACAUUGCCUGGACUCUCUCGCAGCCCUGGCCGUGUGAGUUUUUGGUCCAUAGGAUGGAAGCAGGGGAGCAGCUCUGCACUGUGCCCUUGGAAGGAAGGAACUUGCCUUCUCCUUCCACGUUCCCCGUGUCCACACAGGGGAAAGAGGACGUGCUGGUGGAAGCUGGAGCAGCCGUUUUAGAGCCAAAGAGCCAUGAGGAGAGGCUGGCAGAGCUGUGGCCGGGGCCGGGCUAUCCCAGAGCUGGGUUACCCACGUCCUGGACCACCCAUCCUGACUGUUAUUAGAGAGGGAAAUAAAUUGAAGCUUGUGGGUAUUUCCGGUGUCUCUGUUCUGCAGCCAAGUUUUUAUCCUAAAGAGGAUUCUAUAAGGGAAGAUUGGGUACUGAAAGGACAGUAAAUAAAAGGGGGGGUUCUGAUACACGCAACAUCACGGACACGGCCCUUCGAGGGUGUCAUCUCUCUGCCAGCCCCAAAUCUCCAGUUUCCCUCCCCUGCACAAAGUUCCAGCACAACCGGGCUCCCUGGGAAACUGGCCCAUGAUUAGAGGGAAUUCAGAAGUAUUGACAAAGUGAUCAGCCUGGCGGUCCUGGUUGGAAGCCGAGGCUGGGAAAAAAUGGGAAUUAAUCAUCUCAGAUGCGUCCCUGGCCUAGUUUACCCUUUCCAUUUAAGUGGGAGGUAAUUAAACCGUAUGCCAACAAUCAAGGGCGUGAUUUUGCAGGCACAGCUGCAGAUCUGGUAGCAAACUAGAAAAGGAAAAGAGAAACUUCAGCUUGGAGGUACAAAUACAAUUCAUCUCUAAUUUUUCAAAUCAAAACAGACGAGUCUGCCUCAAUUAGAUGAGUUGUUUCUCUCCCUGAAUUUUUGGAAAACUUUGAGGGAUGGCUCAGCCCAGCGAUUCAAAGGAACCUUUUUUUUUUUGGAGGAAGAUUAGCCCUGAGCUAACUACUGCCAGUCCUCCUCCUUUUGCUGAGGAAGACUGGCCCUGAGUUAACAUCCGUGCCCAUCUUCCUCUGCUUUAUACAUGGGAUGCCUACCACAGCAUGGCUUGCCAAGCGGUGCCAUGUCUGCACCCGGGAUCCGAACCAGCGAACCCCGGGCCACUGAAGUGGAAUAUGCACACUUAACCCCUGUGCCACCAGGCCAGGCCCUCAAAGGAACUUUUGAAAAGGGAGCUGGACCGAGCUUCCAGCGGGGCCCGGUUUCGAGCCGGGGUCACUUCUUUCCCUGCUCCGUGGUGUUUCUGCUGUCCGCUAGUCCUGUGCAACCUGCUCCUGUGCUGCGUUCUCUCUGGUCUGGGUCCUUCAACCGGCCGCAGCACCGGCCCACGCUGUCUAAGGCUUUGGUUUAUAAUCUCGUGUUCAGCCAUCGUCCUCAAGUCAUGCUCCCCACGCCAGGCCUCCCAGUUCUGGCACAAUAAAUGGCUCCCCCCACCCACACGACACAGACUGACGUUGAACGAGUCACUAUGCCCCAAAGGUGAUUUCCCCGUGGGUGGCUGGCUCUCCACGGCCAUCCUUGCAAGGGGUCUCUGAUCAGGAACAGCCCGGUCUGUCGGACAGGUGGACUAUGGUGGAAUCUUGAAAGAGAAUGGACUGGGAUCUUGAUUACUUUGUGCCCAAGAGACUCGUCCUUCCCGAACUGCCCGGGCAGCUGGAUCGCAGCGCAUGGCGAAGGCGGGAGGUGCACUUCCCCCGGACCAGCGGGCUCGGGCUCCACAGUGACAGCGUCCAGGCCACAGAUGGGUCUUGCCAGUUGCUCCUCUCUGGGCCUGGCCUGAGCCCUUCGGAUGGUGUCAGCCCCGGGGCCUGGACCCAGGGUUUGAGGGCGAGGCUCCCGGGGCUUCUGCCUCAUGCGGAGGUUAGGUUACAAAGCCUGCAUGAAAGACUCCAAAUUCAUUUAGUCAAUUUACCCUUGAAAAUUCCUUAAAUGAACAGAAUGUAGGGCCCUUGGAAGCUCAAAAUCUAAUAAUUCACUUUGUUCUGUUUUCAUUUUGGCUGUGGCCUUGCUUUCCUUGGAACUGUGAAGACCAAGGUCUCAUUUGAACGAGGUGGGAAUUAGAGGAGGGUCAAGGGUUGACGAGCUCUCUCACACGUUUGAUUCAUCGCAAGUUUACGUGUGCAUGUGACGUGGCUCCUGCGUGUCGAUGUGGUGGGGGACAUCGCGGGCACAGAUACGUUGUGUCACUCAAUCUCACAGUGGCCAUAGGAGGUAAGCAGUAUGACUUCCCACCCACCCUGUAUAGAGGUGGAAACUGAAGCUCAGAGAGGGCCCAUAUGUAGCCUCAAGUCUGGAAAAUGGUCACUUAGUGAGUCCUCUGCCCUGUUGGCUCAUCAGUUGUGCCAGGAUGACUCUGAACCCAGAGCAAGCUCAGCAUAGGCUCAGGCCAGGGCCCCGAUACCCAGGACAUCACAGAAUGCUCUUUGCUCCAGGGUCAGACCUGGGGCUCUGUGAGGCUGAUGGAGUGGGUAAGCGCCAAUGAGGGGGGUGGGAAUCAGGGACAUGUCUCUGAGGGCGUGGCUAUGUGCUUUGUUCCUGUAGAUACUCAACGGGUGAAAGAUGGGGGAUGAUCCGAGCAGAAAGGCAUGUCAGACAGGAGGAAGGGAAGAGGCAAAGUGAGCGGGCUGGGAAGCAGAGCCUGUCUCCUGGAGAUUAGAGAGUGUGGCUGACGGCAAGUGGGUAGGGGGUGCUCUGGGCUAGAGAGCUAGGUAGUGCCAAACUAGGGUGAGCCUUGAGUGCUGCCAUGAGGGGUGAGCUUGUUGGGGGGGAAGGGAGGGCGUGGAAGACAGCCCGGCCCCCUAAAGCCCUGCUCAGGUUGCCCAGAAAGUGUGGCUAUUGGAUCCCAAGGCAGAUGGAAGUCGCCUGUCUUGACUUUGCCUGUUUGAGGCCUCAGGGGAGCAGGUGUUCCAUGUAUAGGAGUCAUGCGUUGAUUCCUAUAGGAUCAGAAACACUGGGCCCAGCCGCUGGAGGCUUCUAUCUCCACCUGAAGCCUCUCUCUGCGUAUCUCAGCAGGCUGGAGCCGUGCAUCCGUCAGUUGCAGGAGACAAAAAAUCCAGCGCAGAGGGAGUUUGCAGACUCUGGGAACUGGCCGUGUGAGCACUGACCAGGCUUCAGGCCUGGCUCUAACAAUCUGGGGUCUGAUCUCUCGCAGUCUUCCCUCUUUGCUCCCUGACGAGUUGGCCUCGCUCUCAGCUAGUCUCUUCCGAUUGAAGGCAAAGUGGUCACUCGCGGCUCCUGAGGUAGCCUCCUCCUCUGUCAACUUACAGCCUCAGUGGAAAAGCAGCCUUUACCACGAGCUCAGCAAGAGGCUCAGGAAGGGUUUUCAUUGGUCCAGCUCGAGUCACACACCUGUCCCUGACCAAUCACGGGGCUGUGUGUGAAUUAAGUGCCCACCCCUGGAGACCCUCAUGGACUGAGAGCCGGGGAGGGGGGUCCCCAAAGAAAAGAGGUAGUUUUUUUUUUAACCUGUUUGGGUCAUUUCUUCACCCUUCAUUUUAUUUUAUUGUGGUAAAACACGCACAACAUAAAAUUUACCAUUUUAACCAAU
rnacentral:lncRNA from 1 species